AACAGGAUUAGAUACCCUGGUAGUCCACGCUGUAAACGAUGUCGACUUGGAGGUUGUUCCCUUGAGGAGUGGCUUCCGGAGCUAACGCGUUAAGUCGACCGCCUGGGGAGUACGGCCGCAAGGUUAAAACUCAAAUGAAUUGACGGGGGCCCGCACAAGCGGUGGAGCAUGUGGUUUAAUUCGAUGCAACGCGAAGAACCUUACCUACUCUUGACAUCCAGAGAACUUAGCAGAGAUGCUUUGGUGCCUUCGGGAACUCUGAGACAGGUGCUGCAUGGCUGUCGUCAGCUCGUGUUGUGAAAUGUUGGGUUAAGUCCCGCAACGAGCGCAACCCUUAUCCUUUGUUGCCAGCGGUCCGGCCGGGAACUCAAAGGAGACUGCCAGUGAUAAACUGGAGGAAGGUGGGGAUGACGUCAAGUCAUCAUGGCCCUUACGAGCAGGGCUACACACGUGCUACAAUGGCAUAUACAAAGAGAAGCGACCUCGCGAGAGCAAGCGGACCUCAUAAAGUAUGUCGUAGUCCGGAUUGGAGUCUGCAACUCGACUCCAUGAAGUCGGAAUCGCUAGUAAUCGUGGAUCAGAAUGCCACGGUGAAUACGUUCCCGGGCCUUGUACACACCGCCCGUCACACCAUGGGAGUGGGUUGCAAAAGAAGUAGGUAGCUUAACCUUCGGGAGGGCGCUUACCACUUUGUGAUUCAUGACUGGGGUGAAGUCGUAACAAGGUAACC
rnacentral:rRNA from 1 species